AACAUCUUCAAAAGUUGAAAAUGACACGAGGAUUUUCUACUUUCUGCAACUUCAAUAGUCAAAGACCUUAUUGAAGAAGAAGGAAAUGCAUAUGAUUUUCCAAAUGGGAUUCUCUUUGGAGCGUCCACUACUUCAUAUCAAGUUUGUGUUUCUUCUUCAAUAAUUGUACAAGAAGACAUUGAGAUACUAAAUUCUGUUGGGCAAAAAGGGGGGAAAGUCCGAUAAAGCUCACCAAGCAGGAAUCUUAUUCUAUAACCAAUAAUCUCCUACUCAAAGGAAUAGAGCCAUUUGUGAUAAUUUACCACUUCGACUACACUCAUAUUAGAGGAUGGUUGAACAUUAGGAGAUCAAUGACAACGAUUGCAAGUUCAUUGAAGUGGAUCAAAAAGGAAGCACAGGGGAUGGCUGGGCAAAGCAAAACCAAGAAAAUUGCAAUGAUUUGCAUCGUUAAUCAUAUCUGGAUACUAGGAACAUGAAGAUUUUUGAAGAUCUAAAGCCUCAUUCCGAUUGCAUCAUGAGGCGGAUCAAAACACAUAUAUUCAAAGUCAUGUUUUUAUUGUAUCCUCGUAUUUUGAUUCAUUUUGAGUCUUUAGUAUUGAAUAUUUAGAUCUUAUUGUUUGUAUAUCUUUUGAUCUUGUAAGCCUGGGUAUACUCGGAGUAUUUGUAUAUAAGUUUUGAUUAGUACAAA